AGGUCUACGGCAUUGGGUUACAAAGAUAUAGAGAUUAUAAAAAUCAGACUUUGUGGCAAAAACUCAAUUCCUUUGUAACUGGAGUUUAACAACCGUCUUCCAAUUCUACAGUUUUAUGUGUUUCACUGUUAUGUAAACAAUGCUGAGAUAAGUUCAAAGAGACGUAAUUACAUCUUAAUAAUCCAAAUUAUUUUCUAUUUUUAUUAUUUAUUCAAUUUCUCAAUUAAACUCUAUUCAUCUAAAUUUUGAAUAAUUUUCUGUCAUCCAUUUUUUCAUUUUUAUGGCAUAGUUUUGAUGCGGUGACAGUAAAUAGUAAAAUUGCUUUUAUCGAAAUGUUUAAAACUCUCCAAUACUUUUUGCGUGUUUAGAUUUUCAGAUUAAAAUUAAAGAAUUUCUGCAAAAAUGCGAAAAUUGUACAAUCUUGCGACUUUUCUACUUUUGGGACAUUUUCCUUCAGCUUUCAGUCAGCAACAGUUUGUGGGUACUCUAGUCAGAGACGAAGAGAUGAUUUUACCAAAAUGUUGUGGGGGCGGAGAUCUCAAGAAUGUAAAUGGAAGUUUAAUCUGUAUCGGAGAUGAGAAGAAAUCAAGUAUUGAAGUUGGAUUUAGCGGGAUAACAAGAGAAUACCCAGUUCAGGGUUCUGGAAUGCCGUUUUGUAAAUCUGAACUAGAAGCUUGGUAUCCUGAGCAAUCAGAAUCUCUAUCAGAGAGUUCAUCCCUGUUAACUGAAGACGGAGUUUUAAUCCAUGAAGAUCAUUGGUACAGAAAAGACUCUUUCUGUGUGGAUCAUCUCAUAGACUCAGAUUAUGGGGAAGAUUUAAGAAAUGUGGUUGUCCUGUACUGUGUACCCAAAGGUGAAAGGAAAAUUAAAUGUGAAAACCUUGAAGAUUGCACCAGCAGGUGUUGUCAGCCCUGGGCCAGGCUAGAUCAAGAUGUUCAGUUCUGUUCACAUCAUCAGGAUGGGCAGCUGCAGAAAAAAAGCUCUACAGGAUAUAUUUACAAUAGUUUACAAUGUAACCAGAUUUUUGUUCAUUUGAUGUUUUUCCGCAGUUGAUGAAUAGCUCUGUGUAUACAAUGGAGGAAAGGGGGAUUGAAAUUAAUGGAAAUUUUGUUUCAAGGACUCAAUAUUGUUUGGAUU
rnacentral:misc_RNA from 1 species